rnacentral:rRNA from 1 species
CACGUAGGGCGCGAGCGUUGUCCGGAAUUAUUGGGCGUAAAGAGCUCGUAGGCGGCCUGUUGCGUCCGCUGUGAAAGCCCGGGGCUUAACCCCGGGUCGGCAGUGGAUACGGGCAGGCUAGAGGUAGGUAGGGGAGAAUGGAAUUCCCGGUGUAGCGGUGAAAUGCGCAGAUAUCGGGAGGAACACCGGUGGCGAAAGCGGCUCUCUGGAACGGUACUGACGCUGAGACGCGAAAGCGUGGGGAGCGAACAGG